GGGCCCGUAGCUCAGUAUGGUUAGAGCGCCCGGCUCUUAACCGGGAGGUCGCGGGAUCGAAGCCCGCCGGGCCCG
rnacentral:tRNA from 3 species